GAUGAACGCUAGCUACAGGCUUAACACAUGCAAGUCGAGGGGCAGCAUGAAAGGAACUUCGGUUCUUUUUGAUGGCGACCGGCGCACGGGUGCGUAACGCGUAUCGAACCUGCCUCAUACUCGGGGAUAGCCUUGCGAAAGUAAGAUUAAUACCCGGCGGUCUCGGAUGGCCGCAUGACUAUCCGAGUGAAGAUUUAUCGGUAUGAGAUGGCGAUGCGUCCCAUUAGCUAGUUGGUGAGGUAACGGCUCACCAAGGCAUCGAUGGGUAGGGGUUCUGAGAGGAAGGUCCCCCACAUUGGAACUGAGACACGGUCCAAACUCCUACGGGAGGCAGCAGUGAGGAAUAUUGGUCAAUGGACGAAAGUCUGAACCAGCCAAGUAGCGUGCAGGACGACGGCCCUCUGGGUUGUAAACUGCUUUUAGUUGGGAAUAAAAAGAGGGACGUGUCCCUUAUUGUAUGUACCAUCAGAAAAAGGACCGGCUAAUUCCGUGCCAGCAGCCGCGGUAAUACGGAAGGUCCAGGCGUUAUCCGGAUUUAUUGGGUUUAAAGGGAGCGCAGGCGGCGGCGUAAGUCAGUUGUGAAAUCGUGCGGCUUAACCGUGCAAUUGCAGUUGAUACUGCGUCGCUUGAGUGCACACAGGGAUGUUGGAAUUCAUGGUGUAGCGGUGAAAUGCUUAGAUAUCAUGAAGAACUCCGAUCGCGAAGGCAUAUGUCCGGAGUGCAACUGACGCUGAGGCUCGAAAGUGUGGGUAUCAAACAGG
rnacentral:rRNA from 1 species